rnacentral:lncRNA from 1 species
CUGGCAGUCUGCAUCAUUUCGCCACAGUGUGAAACCAUUGGCUGAUGUAUAAAGUGGAAGCCCCAGGAACCUCUCAAGGCCCAGCUUCAGCCUCACCUUCCCUGUGGUCUUCUUCAAGCAGACCCAUACCAAGCUCUCUGUGCUUUGGAAACUGCCAGUGAGGUGAAGUGGGGAGGCAUCGGAGCGACAGCCACGUUGUAUGCCUGCUGCACGAGCCAGACCGCAGGACAAUACUCAAUGAGAGGCACCAACAUCCAUCCUGGCUGAGCUGAUGAUGGUGAGAGGCCACAGAGCCAUGAAAAUGACUUGGAGCAGCCUCCAUGUAUUCCUCAGGGUUGAAUCAUUGUGUGCACCACAGAGCAUUUGCUUUGUAAAAAAGCUAACACUGUGAAAAAUGGGGUAGGCACUUCCUGUUUUGACCAGGAACAAAUGCAAACCAGACCCUGCUCCUCUCACCAGGCAGAGCUUGCUCUUUCAAUUCAGAGAUAUCUUCAAGGACCCAAUUAUGCUGUGGUGCGGAAUGGAGCAUGUAUGUAACUGAGGUUCCUGCCAAAGACAUCAUCUCCUGGCUGAAUGGCAAGACUGGCCAGGACACCAGGAAACUGAGACUGAUUGGACACACAAGAAUGUGAGCUGGGUAAGCAGAAUGAAGGCCCUGGGCAUAACUUGAACACCCGAGGAACUUGAACCCAAGGCUGGCACAAAAGCCAGAAGGUGUUACUCUCCACCAGCUCAGGGAUUGUGAAGAUCUCUGUGCAGACUCCACUCUGCGGUUGGACAGCAUCCCUGAGACAUGCAUUUUGGAAAUUGUGAUCAACCAGAAUCCAGAACACGCUGUGCUUAAUGGAGUGAACUGCCUGUGAAGCGCAGGUGUGAGGGGCGGAUGAUAAGUGACAGUGCCGGUGCCCCCAGCGCCCUUUUACCUGAUGGCUCACCCGGCCUACAGCUGCGCCCUUCCCUUUGAAUCGUCUUGGGUAACGGGUGCUGCUUUGGAAAUGCCUGGAAGGUCAUGUCCUUUGUCUGGGGAUGGCUUCCAGCUGUGGUUGACUGAUAGCAGGGGGCACAGAAGGCCAGACACAACUUGCCUCAGGUGGGCCGACUCUGAGGGUUUGUUCGGCCUCCACGUGGACUUCAGCUGAGCCUGCAUCUUUGCUUGGCUUUUCCCACUGGCCUAUUCUGCUUCCCUCUCCUUAAGGGUUCUCCCAGGAGAACUCCCUUAAUAAAUCACUUGCACAAGGAUCCCUGUCUUAGCCUUUGCUUCUAGAAAACCUGACCUAAGAUAAAUAGGUCGUGGGAACACGAGAGAAAGAGAU